AUGCCAUGGUGGAGACAUUGUCUAGGCAGCUCCUCGAAUCUUUCCCAAGCAUCAAAUAGGGAUUCAUACCCUCCUUGUCAAAAUGAGGUUAUCUCAUUUCUCAUUUU